UACGUAGGGGGCGAGCGUUGUCCGGAAUGAUUGGGCGUAAAGGGCGCGCAGGCGGCCUGUCAAGUCAGUAGCGGAAUACCAUUUUUCAAGGAUGGAAGUGCUAUAGAAACUGAUGGGCUUGAGUGCAGGAGAGGUUAUCGGAAUUCCCGGUGUAGCGGUGAAAUGCGUAGAGAUCGGGAGGAACACCAGUGGCGAAGGCGGGUAACUGGACUGCAACUGACGCUGAGGCGCGAAAGUGUGGGGAGCAAACAGGAUUAGAUACCCU
rnacentral:rRNA from 1 species